rnacentral:misc_RNA from 1 species
CCGAUUGUCACAAAAACGUCAACAAGAAGAUUUGCAGGUGGAAUCGCAUGCAUAUUGCCUCCUGUGCUAUUACUUAUUAUAGAUCUUAUAGGACUGUUGCAGUCAAAUAGAAAAUGUGACAGCCAGCUGAAGCAUGACUUGUCCAGCAUGUGCCUCUGUGUACUUGUACAUGGUAUCAAACAUAAAACAGAGAACCAGAAUAAAGGCAUAGGUUGGUCUUGUCUGUGGUAAUAUUUACCCUAACAGCAUCAUGUUGGACCGACAGAUUUUCACAGACAGCCAUGCUAAAUCCAUCCUUACGACCAUGAACAACCUUCGCAAGGUCAACAAGUUGUGUGAUGUCAUUCUGCGUGUGGAGGGUCGAGACUUUCCUGGACAUCGCAUCGUUUUGGCGGCGUGUAGCGAUUACUUCUGUGCUAUGUUUACCAAUGAGAUGUCGGAGAAGGACAAACAGAUCAUUGAGCUACAUGAGAUCUCUGGUAGUGUGAUGGAGGUGUUGUUGGACUUUGUGUACACAGAGACUGUCAACGUGAGUGUGGAAAAUGUCCAAGAACUACUGCCUGCGGCCUGUCUUCUACAACUUACAGGAGUUAAACAAGCGUGCUGUUCGUUCCUGGAGAAGCAGCUUGACUGUACUAACUGCCUAGGAAUUAAAGUGUUUGCUGAACAACAUUCCUGUGACCUGUUGCUCGCUGCUGCUGAGUCCUUCGGUCUCAAACAUUUUGAAGAGGUUCUCGUGCAGGAGGAAUAUAGAAACCUUCCCCUGGAACAAGUCAAGUCCCUGAUCAAGAGUGACGAACUACAGGUAAAUUCUGAAGAGCCAGUGUUUAGUGCUGUGAUGACGUGGGUGAAAUACGACCCUGACAGUCGUAAGGAGUAUCUGGCCCAGCUUCUGCAGCAUGUGAGACUAGCCAUGUUGUCGGCCAGAUUUAUCACUGAUGUUGUUGAUGAUGAGCCACUGAUAAAGAGAAGCCAUGAAUGCAGGGAUCUGCUAGACGAGGCCAAGAAGUUUCACCUACGACCUGACCUACGGUCCACGAUGGUUGGACCACGAAUGAAAUCAAGAAUAGGUACUGAUGAUAUCCUGGUGGUGAUGGGCGGGUUUGGGUCCCACCAGAACAUGGUGGAGGUAGUGGAGCAGUAUGACCCUAAGUCUGGCGAGUGGAAGCGCCUCCCGAACUUGCCAAAGAGACGGAGAUAUGUAGCCGCCGCCGCUUUAGCAGGGAAGGUAUAUGUCAUCGGCGGCUACGAUGGCCAGUCACGUCUCAACACGGUCGAGUGUCUAGAUAUAUCGGCAGACGACCCAACAUGGCAGACUAUCGCCCCAAUGUCUCACAGGAGGGGACUAGCAGGGGUCUGUGUGUACAAAGGCGAGAUCUAUGUUUGUGGCGGGUUUGAUGGGUUUACACGUCACACGAGUAUGGAGUGUUACAAUCCCCACACUAACCAGUGGCACAUCCUCAGCGGCAUGGCUGUCGGACGGGAAGGGGCAGGCCUAGUUGUGGCAGGAGAAAAGAUCUACGGAAUCGGAGGUUACGAUGGAGUCAACCUGCUGGACUCGGCAGAGGUUUACGAUCCUGUUAAGGAGGAAUGGUCCGACAUUGCACCAAUGUCCACCAGACGAUCAGGUGCUGGAGUAGCAGUGGUCAAUGAUAUUGUGUAUGUUUGUGGAGGCUAUGAUGGAACUGACCACCUGGCCAGUGUCGAGAGCUACAACAUCCACACUGGCCACUGGUCAGCGGUCACACACAUGAUUGUACCUCGGUGCUAUGUGGGUGCUUGUGUACUACAAGGGAAGCUGUUUGUUGUAGCGGGCUAUGACGGCAACACCCUGUUGAAUACUGUAGAGAGUUACGACCCGACCACAGGGACAUGGGAACUGUUAGACAGUGCCAUGAAGACUCAGAGAUGUGAUGCUGGUGUAACCGUGGCACGCAAGUUAUGACACAGGUUUCCUGGCAGGUCCUCAGUAGCGGAAGACCUGAUGUCUUCUUAUCCGGUGGAUGCACACUUGCCAGAUAGACACGGACCUUGAUGUGCUCGGUGCCCAGUAAACCUUCCUGCCUGGCUUCUUAUACAUUCUACACUUAUCAGUCUCAAUGUAGGUUUGAUCAGAAAAAAACAGAGCCAGCUUCCUACUACACCAUGUAUCAAAGCCAAUGGUGAAAUGCUAUGGUACAAAAUGAAAUGGAAAAAAAAGUGAUAAUAAGCUUAUGGUAUGGUGCAGUAUACAUGGUCAGUCAUCCGUCUGUACUUUUUGUCCAUUUUGUUCUUUGAAUGGCUUCUUCUUGAAAACUGAAAAAGCCAGGGUCCUAAUAUUGAAACAGUAGGUUCCUGGGAUAGAGUGCUGCAACGUUUUUGCAUAUAAAUGACCUUGACCUACUAUUAAGGUCACAGGGGUCAAAUGUGUUAAAAUCUUAAAGCAACAUCAUCAAAAGAAUCAUAAAAUUAAUAUUUUUCUAACAUAUAAUAUUCAGGUCAAAUGCCAACUUUGAAUGCUUGCUAGGAUCAAAGGGCCAUAAUGUGUGAAAUGAAGAAUCUUAUUGAAUUGCAUAAAGCCCAGGGUCCUGAUAUUUGGCGAGUAAGUAACUUUGGUAGAGUGCCAUGAAAUUUACUCAUAUGAAUGACCUUGACCUACUUUAUAAGUCGCAUGGGUCAAAUAUGGUAAAACAAUCCAAGCAACAUUAUAGUAAGGGUUAGAGCCUUGAUAUUUGGAUAUGUCAUGUAGACAGUAGUGCAAAUACUUUUCUUAGUCUUUGCAUAGUAACUCGGAAAUUAUUGAGAUCCUCAAGAUAUACCAGGAAACCAUACGUUUACUUGUUGAAAGAUUAGCCCCAGAAUGUAGCCCUGCUCCUUGGGGCUUAUUCCCGAGUCAUUAUAUGGAAUCAAUUUAUAUCACCAACCCUAUUAAUGUAGUUUAACACAUUCAUACAGAUCUCACCCAGAUUUACUUCACAGCAUCAUUCGGUCUAGAGAGAUGGAGCCCCAAAUGUAAUGAGAAGGUUUUGCUAUAUUCAGAUGAGUAAUACAGGCCUUCUAUAUGCCGCUUGUUUGUUUAAAGGUGUUUUAAAUUAUCUAUGUAGGAUAUUAUUUUCCUUGAUAAAACUGCAUUUCUGAUAUAAAUACUUUUAUUACAAUUGGAUCAUUCCUGUGUUAUUAUAUUUACAUAUGAUAGGUAUGAAUGUAAGAUCCACAUGGUAUGUGGGUGAAGUACACACCCAGACAAGUCAGAUCCACAGGAUGGACUGAUAACCAAGGUAUCCCAGGAAUGAUUCAUGUAAAAAGUAGAGGCAUUGGAGGGCCCCCAUACAGUGGCUUUCAUAUAUGCAUAAUCUAUUUUACAGAAAUGGAUGUAUUUCUGUGAUCAAUAUUGUUUGAAGAUAGUACAUUCAGCUGCCAUUAUUUUUACUUUUGAUAUUACCUGAAUAUUGUAUGUAUAUUGCCUUUGGAUUAGUAUGCUUUGUAUAUUAUAUGAUAAUCUUAAUCUGCCUGAGUAAAUAAUCGAGGUGUGUGGUGACUUAUCACAGGUGCUGUAUUUGACCUAAUAAGCACUCUAGACACUUCAUCAGAGAAAGGAGAGGGGACACCUAUGAAGGGUAGGGUGCUUACUAUGUCAAUUACAGUACCUGUAGAUCAACACAAGGGUUGUAGAAAUGAUGUAUUAAUGCAGGUUUUUCUAUACUGGACUCUACUGGAGCAAGUUCUAUUACAGCUAACCCUUUCACUUCUGUAGAUCAUAAUGAACUCAUCCAGAUAAAUGUAUGGCGAAAUCUACUUUAAAAGUUACUUAGGGAUGAAAGGGUAAGCGACCAUAAAGAGUUUUUAUUUGAUUGUUUUUUUGUUCAAGUUAUCUAGAAAAGCUACAGUAGUUGUGUUUUCUACCUGAUUGUGAUGAGGUUUAAUCAUGGAGCAAACUAUUUCUGUUUUACAAAGUAUAAAACAAUUGCAAAAAUGUUGUAAAAUAAUGAGUUAUUUAGACAGGUUAGGAAACUUGUAAUGGGAACAAGUAAUAAUCAUAUUAAUGUGUUACAACUCUUGAAAUAUGUGAAAUUAUUUUAUAUAGAAUUAAUGUGUCAUUUUUGUGCAUUCAACAUUUUUUUUUAAUGUUUCCUCAAUAUUUCAGUGUUUUGAUAUGUUAUUCUAGUACUUAUAUAUUGCUCCUAAAUAUCAACAAAAUGGUUCACAUCUAGUCCGGCCUAAAUUUACCCGGACUGUAGGGGUCCAAGAUUGGGGUCAUCCACACUUGCUAUAUUACACUGGGGUCACAUUUGCUCCAUAUGUAUAACUUUGGGGUAGUAGAUCGAGGUUAUUAUCUCUUAAUAUAAAAACCUUAGGUCUGAUUUUAUACAGAUUGAUCGUGGAACCAGAGUUCACUUUAUAUAAUAUAUGAAGGUUACCUGUGUAAUGUAUGCAUAGCUGUGUUAAAUCUUCCUAGAUUUUCUAGAUUUCAGGUUGUAGAUGGUCUCGUGUUACGGUACUUGGAGACACAGUUGUGAAAAGAUUGGGAAAUGAUGUAAACCCUUCUAUCUUGUGUUGAUUCUAUGGGGUUGUAAAAGAAAUCGUCACACAUUGAUUGUAUUUAAUUCAAUUACAAUGUUAAGGAUUCCCACGCCACUGCUAAAACUGUGACUAUGGCUGCAAUGGAAACUGGGUUUUUUUCUGGCGUGUCUAUAGCGUUGAUAGAUCAUUUCUGAAAAGAAACCAUAUCUUGCGGGACUUUUAUGAAAAAUAAUAAAUAUGAAAUGAACAAAUUAUCAACAAGAGAGUUAUGAGUGUCAAAAAUCCAGGGGUGUUAGACCGGGAUUCGAACCCAGGACUUUGAGAUUGUAAUUGUAUACAGGAAAAGGGGCCGGUCAGUGGGACAGGGAUCCUUAAGUACUGAAAAUGUAUGCAAGAUGUACAUACCUGGUAUCUUUAAGAAAUUAGUGGAUAAAGUAAGAUUUACAAAUUAGUGCAUCACACAAUUUGAAUAUUUUAUACUUUUUUAAUGAUUUCAUGGGAAGCAGAAAGCUUUUUUUGUACAGAAUGUAUCAGCUUAUUCUAUGUAAUACUUGCAAUAGAGCCAGCUUAUAAAACUGUUCAUCAUUAUAUCACACGUAAGAUGUAGCAUUGAUCAUUAUAUCAGUCGUAAGAUAUAGCAUUGAUUUACUUACAUAUUUUAUCAAUUUUGUAUAUAAGUCCCUGAUAGCAUGGAAUUUCUGUCAGGAAGACAGCUUGUUCAUCAUGUGCUAAUGUGUACCUGAAAAUCUCAGCACAGAGCUCGUUCAUGACCAUUAUACUGUCAUAUCUAUACUGAAUGUUUUGUAUUUGAUUGAAAUUUGAUGGUUCCACUACCCUGCCUUGUACAUGUAUCUACAGUAUAUCUUUUGUUUUUAUUACUGUAUUAUGUUUCAAUGCUAUUCAUCAGUUACAGUAACAUUAUAGCAUCGUAUUCAUUUUAAUUUAAUCGGGCAUGGAUAAAUCAUCCUAUUUACAUAUCAUACCAGUACUUCAAAUAUAUGCAUAUAACACUAUCAAAUAAUAAUAUGCCUGUACUGAUCAUAUCAUUGAAUUGUGCAUUUUGUCAAAGGGAGACAACCCAACAUCAAAUACAACCAAACUUGCAGGCCUUGUUUUAUGUAACGCUGGAAUUAUCUCCCCUUAAUUUUUAUUCCUUUUUUAUCCUGAAUAUAAUGAAGAGGUAGGGAUUAUUUUAGGAGAAGGUUGGGUGGUAAUAUGUGAUUUGCAGAACAGGAUGCGAACCUAUGGCACACUGUGAAAAGUUGUAAUAUCGCAAGUCACUGGCAUUGACUUCAAACCACCGUAAACUUGGCCUGCUGCACAUCAGAUAGUUCCAUCUAUUGAAAUGUUAUACAAAUUUAUGACUUGACUGAACUUGGAUCAAUUGCAUUCAGGAUGAAAAUGGGCUGAAGAAACUUCAGACAUUCUAUGAAUAAAGAUAUCUGUCAAUGUCAUAAAAACAGUAUAGCUUGAGCUAUCUCCCCCGACAAAAAACAUGCAUUUCUUUUAGACAAAGUCUAUAGAAAUACAUUCAGGCAAAUUAUGCAUAUUUUAAUCUUUAAUGGGACAUCAUAUAUGAUUAUAUUCACCAAUGUCGUAAAAUAAACAUGCAUGCGUAAAUUCAAAUUCAGUACCUGCUGUUUGAUACAUUUUCAGUUGCCAUUAUUGCUAAAAAUACACAAGAUACCUAUAUAUCGCUACAAUUGUUAAUAAAAAAAAAAGAUCAUCAGAAUUCCACAGGAAGAGAACAAUAUAUGCCUGUCUGAUGGCGUUGUUCCAACUUCCAACUUAGCUUUGUGUUCUUAACCUUUGCCUUAGAUUGGCUAGUAGCCCUAAGUUUUGUAUGAAGACUUUCCCAGCUGCAUUUUACUACUAGCUUAUCUCCCAUUAGUUUCUAGAAAUUAUUUUUUUGCAAAUAAUUCAACAUUCUAAAGACAGGGGCCAGUGUUCCAUUAUCUUGGGUAAUUGUGACCAAGUAUCAUCAUAAUUUAUUCAAUUGGAAUUCAGAGAUCCUGACAAGUCAAAUCAAUGGUAGAGAUAAAUUGGGAAAGUUCCCUGGUUUUCUGUACAAAUUCAUUGUUGUAAACAUGAUUUAGUUAAUUAGCUAUCAGCAGAAAUAUUCCAGUUUUGACUGCUUAUGACAGGGUGGUUGGGUUUCAUAAGAGAUCAACAAUCUACUGAUCAAAGUUACCUGCUCACUGCUAUAUACAUGUAUGAUGAUUCUGCUCUAUGAGCUGUACAUUGCUACGGAUGUUUGAUCUACUUACUCUACCCUGUGAAAUGGACUGUUAGGUACAGCAGUACAUUCCGCUUAUCACUAACAAUAAUCGCAUGAGGAGCAUGCAAUGCGUCCAUGGUAAUGCUAACCCUAUGAUCAGUAAGGUGGAGUUUGUCAAUAUCUCAAGAUUACCAUUUAUCAAAAUGUUGGUAAAGGCAUCCUUAAAAAAAUUCCUAGGUACAUUUUUGCAUGGCUUUUUGAAACUGUUCAAGUCUCUUAAAUGUAGGUGCAUGAGUGUUUUGAAUUUUUGUAAUUGACAUAUGAUAAGAUACAGAAUGAUGUAUUCAAAAUAAAAUGUGCAGAUAAAUUCAACAUGCUUUGGAUAGGGAACAUUUUAAGUAACUUAUUUCAUUAUACAUGUACUUAAUUUCAAAUAAUCAUGAUUUAACAUUUGCUUUCACAUUGAGUGUUCUCUAUAGCAAAGUAUUGUUAGGAGAUGACCAUUUUGUAAAUAAGUGGUGGUGUUGGCUGACCUGUGCAUAAUCCAAUUAGUCACAUCCAGGUCAGUGAGAAACAGAUUCUACAACUACUCAUUAGAGGGGUUGAUUAGGUCUUAUUAAGAAAUAUGUAAAAGUUGGAGGAAAUCCCGAUAGUGAAGAUGUUUUGUAAGAAAGAGAAGGAUGGUAAGGUAUCAUGUUUGGUUCCAUACCAAACAUAUUGGAAUACUUUUUUGUGCAAAAUUACUACAUUGUUUAUAUACAUAUUCUAUGUACCUGUUAUAAAAGUGAAGAUUAAAGACAACUAUGAUGAAAUCA